CCUGUACGAUCACCGAAGUUAAGCAACGUCAAGACUGGUCAGUACCUAGAUGGGUGACCUCUUAGGAAUAUCAGGUGCUGUAA